rnacentral:tRNA from 1 species
CGGGGUGUAGCUCAGUUUGGUAGAGCGCUAGAUUUGGGAUCUAGAGGCCCAGGGUUCGAACCCCUGCACUCCGACCA